UUGUGUGUUUGGAUGGUUGUUGGUUUGGGGGUUUUGUAUGUUUUUUGUUUUGUUGUAAAUGUGAUAAAAUUUGUGGUGCCCUAUCACAUAUACAAC